GUGUUAAAGGGUUUCUUUUUCUUUUUUUUGGUUCACUUCUUCGGUUCUGUUUAUUGUUUAUAUAUAAUAUAUAAUAAUAGGUUUUUCAAUACAUGUUUUUCUGAUACAAUAAUAUAUUUAUAUUAAGCAUAUUAAGCAUAUAUAAAUGAAAAUUAUAGGCUUAGCUUAAUAAUUAAGCUUUGCCUAUAAUAAAAUGAAUAGACCACAUCAAAAAUUAAAUAGAUAUGUAAAAAGCUUUAUAUAUAUAUAUAGUUUUAUAUGUACAAAAUUCGUAACACAUAUAUACAU
rnacentral:lncRNA from 1 species